GACGAACGCUGGCGGCGUGCUUAACACAUGCAAGUCGUACGGUAAGGCCCUUUCGGGGGUACACGAGUGGCGAACGGGUGAGUAACACGUGAGUAACCUGCCCACAACUUUGGGAUAACGCUAGGAAACUGGUGCUAAUACUGGAUAUGUGCUCCUGCUGCAUGGUGGGGGUUGGAAAGCUCCGGCGGUUGUGGAUGGACUCGCGGCCUAUCAGCUUGUUGGUGGGGUAGUGGCCUACCAAGGCGGCGACGGGUAGCCGGCCUGAGAGGGUGACCGGCCACAUUGGGACUGAGAUACGGCCCAGACUCCUACGGGAGGCAGCAGUGGGGAAGAUUGCACAAUGGGCGCAAGCCUGAUGCAGCAACGCCGCGGGCGGGAUGACGGCCUUCGGGUUGUAAACCGCUUUCAGCAGGGACGAAGCUUUUUGUGACGGUACCUGCAGAAGAAGCACCGGCUAACUACGUG
rnacentral:rRNA from 1 species